UUUUUAAAUACAUAUCAAAAAUUGCAGGACUGGCAAGAUUCGAACUGCAUCUUCUGGGAAUCGCGCCCGAUGCCUUGA